rnacentral:rRNA from 1 species
GAUGAACGCUGGCGGCGUGCCUAAUACAUGCAAGUCGAGCGAACAGACGAGGAGCUUGCUCCUCUGACGUUAGCGGCGGACGGGUGAGUAACACGUGGAUAACCUACCUAUAAGACUGGGAUAACUUCGGGAAACCGGAGCUAAUACCGGAUAAUAUAUUGAACCGCAUGGUUCAAUAGUGAAAGACGGUUUUGCUGUCACUUAUAGAUGGAUCCGCGCCGCAUUAGCUAGUUGGUAAGGUAACGGCUUACCAAGGCAACGAUGCGUAGCCGACCUGAGAGGGUGAUCGGCCACACUGGAACUGAGACACGGUCCAGACUCCUACGGGAGGCAGCAGUAGGGAAUCUUCCGCAUUGGGCGAAAGCUUGACGGAGCAACGCCGUGUGAGUGAUGAAGGUCUUCGGAUCGUAAAACUCUGUUAUUAGGGAAGAACAAAUGUGUAAGUAACUAUGCACGUCUUGACGGUACCUAAUCAGAAAGCCACGGCUAACUACGUG